AUCAAGGUGAAGUUUCAGUAGUUGUUCUUUGGGUCUUUUUGUUUGGUUGAUACUCUCAAAGGAAGAACUGUAUGAGUCUUCAGCUUCAUUUGGGCUAUAUGAGAAUGAGAUGUCGAGUUUUGCUAUGCCUAUUUCUGGUUUGUCUGGCAUUUCCUUGGUCCUUAAUUACUUUGGUUGAAGUGGCAGCUACUAGGGUUUUUCUGGUUUCUCUGUUCGGGGGCUUGGUUCUUUUUGACAGGAUGGUUUGCAUGCCACUUUUUUGCGGAUCUCACCCAUUUUCUAGUUCUAUGUCUUUGUCUUGUGUUUAAG
rnacentral:misc_RNA from 1 species